UCCGCCACGAGGCGGAAUCUGAAGGAAGCUGGAGGCAAACGCUCGACCCGAGGUACACGAACCAAUUUGAGGCUGUUCAGUCGGACGAGUCUCCACGACAAGGCAAAGUCCCAGUCGCCAAGGCUGAAGCAGUAGACUUGGGCGGGUACAUGAGCGGAAAGAUGACGUU
rfam:Anaerosporomusa subterraneum strain RT4 RT4_contig_4, whole genome shotgun sequence.